GCCUCGCUGGGCAGCCCUGGCUUGCCGCCCUUGACCUCUCCGCUGGCGUCUCAGGACUCUGGUCCGGUCGGAGCCGGUCUGCAGACGCCGGGCAGGCUUCCUCUGCUGCCGCUGCCGCCUUGUCGCCCCGCCCCCUCGGCCCCCCUCACCGCAGGCCAAAGGGAGCUGCCCCUUGGGGGUCAGGCCGGGGGCCCGGGGGCAGGGAAAGCCCGCUCCCAUGGACCCGAAGAGCCCCACGCGGCCGGCGCCGCUGCCAGGACCUGGAACAGAGAAGGGCUGAGUGCAGUAUUAACGACGGAUGGAUAGAUGGACGAAUGGCUACAUAAUGAACCCAUCAUGAGACUAGCAGGCUCCAGGUGCCAGAGGUGUCCUGAUGCUACAGACCCACAUCCUAGAGCUGAAGAGCCUGUAACCCGGAGCAAGAAGUGACUGGGUCCCCUUCCUACCCCCAGCCCCCUCGCAGGCAGACAGCCACCUCCCCGCCAGCCACAUCCCCAGCGGACCCGUCUGCCACAGCCGGCCUCUGUUGACCCCUGUGGAUGGGAUCUGCUGAUUGAAAGAAAGUUCAUUCCCUUUGCGGUUGACAAGCCCGCAGAAGAGCCCGGGGGGUUGGGGGUGGGAGGUGGGGGGCGCCCCCACCGGCCUCCAGAACUUAACGGCUUGUCCCUCUGUCCUGAAGGUGCUUGCUGCCAGCCCAGCACUGACAGUUUUAUUGGCAGGCGGGCCUGCUAGAAGGAUUGUAGGCUAUUUACAGUGUUGAGGCCAUGGCUUUGCACGGAGACAGUUAACAUAAAUUCACAUGAUGGAUCCGUUAUCACUUCAUUGAACUUCUGGCGGACCCAUCGAAGGCCGAGCGAUAACACACUGUUUCCCGGGUUUGCACAGCCCUGGGAUACAUUAAAUACACUUUAUUUAUGGCUCACCAUCGCAGCACUGUGGGCAGGAGAAUGCAGCUUUUGCAACUAUCGUCUAAUUUUAUGAUGAGCAUUAAAGCCGGGCCUAUAAUUUGCACCUUUUUAUUCAUUAGACAGUGGUGCAGCCAUAAGUCAAAAAGGCCCAGGGAUUUAGAUGCCGAUCCAGAAGAUAAACUAUUGACAAGCCAGAUGUAUUUUUACAUUAGAGCGCCUUUACAAUAGUUUAUGUUGAGAGUGGAAUAUAAAUUGCAUUAUUAAAUAUGAACCGCUCUUGGAA